GACGAACGCUGGCGGCGUGCUUAACACAUGCAAGUCGAACGGAAAGGCCCUGCUUUUGUGGGGUGCUCGAGUGGCGAACGGGUGAGUAACACGUGAGUAACCUGCCCUUGACUUUGGGAUAACUUCAGGAAACUGGGGCUAAUACCGGAUAGGAGCUCCUGCUGCAUGGUGGGGGUUGGAAAGUUUCGGCGGUUGGGGAUGGACUCGCGGCUUAUCCGCUUGUUGGUGGGGUAGUGGCUGACCAAGGCUUAGACGGGUAGCCGGCCUGGGAGGGUGACCGGCCACAUUGGGACUAAGGUACGGCGCAGAAUCCUACGGGAGGCAGCAGUGGAGAAUAUUGCGCAAUGGGCGGAAGCCUGAUACAACAGCGCCGCGUGCGGGAUGACGGCCUUCGGGUGGUAAACCGCUGUCGCCUGUAACGAGGCGUGAGUGACGGUAAUGGGUAAGGAAGCACCGGCUAACUACGUG
rnacentral:rRNA from 1 species